rnacentral:tRNA from 1 species
GGGGGUAUAGCUCAGUGAUAGAGCAUGUGCUUAGUAUGCACAAAGUCCUGGGUUCAAUCCCCAGUACCUCUA